rnacentral:rRNA from 1 species
UACGAAGGGGGCGAGCGUUGUUCGGAUUUACUGGGCGUAAAGGGCGCGCAGGCGGCUUUGUUUGUCAGGCGUGAAAGCCCCGGGCUUAACCUGGGAACUGCGUUUGAUACGGCAGGGCUAGAGUCCGGAAGAGGAGUGUGGAAUUCCCGGUGUAGCGGUGAAAUGCGCAGAGUAUCGGGAAGAACACCCGUGGCGAAGGCGGCACUCUGGGACGGUACUGACGCUGAGACGCGAAAGCGUGGGGAGCGAACAGG